AAAGGCCCUGCUUGCAGGGUACUCGAGUGGCGAACGGGUGAGUAACACGUGGGUGAUCUGCCCUGCACUUCGGGAUAAGCUUGGGAAACUGGGUCUAAUACCGGAUAGGAACCAUCUUUAGUGUGGUGGUUGGAAAGUUUUUUCGGUGUAGGAUGAGCUCGCGGCCUAUCAGCUUGUUGGUGGGGUAAUGGCCUACCAAGGCGGCGACGGGUAGCCGGCCUGAGAGGGUGUACGGCCACAUUGGGACUGAGAUACGGCCCAGACUCCUACGGGAGGCAGCAGUGGGGAAUAUUGCACAAUGGGCGCAAGCCUGAUGCAGCGACGCCGCGUGGGGGAUGAAGGCCUUCGGGUUGUAAACUCCUUUCGCUAGGGACGAAGCUUUUUUGUGACGGUACCUAGAUAAGAAGCACCGGCUAACUACGUGCCAGCAGCCGCGGUAAUACGUAGGGUGCGAGCGUUGUCCGGAACUACUGGGCGUAAAGGGCUCGUAGGUGGUUUGUCGCGUCGUCUGUGAAAUUCUGGGGCUUAACUCCGGGCGUGCAGGCGAUACGGGCAUAACUUGAGUGCUGUAGGGGUAACUGGAAUUCCUGGUGUAGCGGUGAAAUGCGCAGAUAUCAGGAGGAACACCGAUGGCGAAGGCAGGUUACUGGGCAGUUACUGACGCUGAGGAGCGAAAGCAUGGGUAGCGAACAGGAUUAGAUACCCUGGUAGUCCAUGCCGUAAACGGUGGGCGCUAGGUGUGAGGGUCUUUCUACGACUUUCGUGCCGUAGCUAACGCAUUAAGCGCCCCGCCUGGGGAGUACGCCGCAAGGCUA
rnacentral:rRNA from 1 species